GCAGAAGCUCCACCACCACAGCAAAG
rnacentral:piRNA from 1 species